UGUGAAUCAGUUUUAACAAUCUGUGCACUGAAGAGCUGUUGAAUAGACAGUGAGAUGAGAGAAAUCAAGCAACCUGCUUAAGACCACAAUAGUUGAAAUACUGGGCUGUAGCUUUCCUUCAAUGUAGCUAUGUAGUUAUAAUUAGUAACAAUUGUAGUUACAUCUUCAGUCAGUGGGAUUCAUUGGUACCAAUCAUAAAUGUUCAAACAGGAAUCGAACUUUCCUCUCCCCAGCUCACUUUGCGAAGAUACUGAUGAGCUUGCCCUUCAAGAACACUACUCUAGGGGUUUGGAAAGUGAUUUUUAAAAACUACUUUGAUAGUUUUGAAAUCAGAGAAGAUAUUCUCACCAUUUUCUGACAGCUUCAAGUGAAGAAUAUGUAUUUUAAGAAACAUUCCAAACUGAAAGCUCUGUGGUAUAUAGAAAUAUUAAAUACAGUUAGCUUUGUAAGGUGGAAACUUUUCUUAUAUGUGUGUGGGUCAACGUUUGCAUUGUUGAGUCAACCUUUUCUAAAUACGGUAGAUAUAGUUGUAUAAGGUUUUAAAUGGAUGAAGCUCUUGAGUAAAUAUCAUACUGGGAUUUCUGGGUUCAGAGGAAAAUGGGAAAUGCAGAAAUCACCCCCUAAGUCUCUCAAUGAAAGUGCAUUCUAUUUAAAUAAAGUUUGAAUAAAAUCA
rnacentral:lncRNA from 1 species